rnacentral:rRNA from 1 species
ACUACGUCCCUGCCCUUUGUACACACCGCCCGUCGCUCCUACCGAUUGAAUGGUCCGGUGAAGUGUUCGGAUCGGGGKGACGGGGGUGGUUCGCCACUCGCGACGUCUUGAGAAGUCCAUUGAACCUUAUCAUUUAGAGGAAGGAGAAGUCGUAACAAGGUUUCCGUAGGUGAACCUGCGGAAGGAUCAUUG